rnacentral:rRNA from 1 species
GUAGGGAAUCUUGCGCAAUGGGCGAAAGCCUGACGCAGCCAUGCCGCGUGAAUGAUGAAGGUCUUAGGAUUGUAAAAUUCUUUCACCGGGGACGAUAAUGACGGUACCCGGAGAAGAAGCCCCGGCUAACUUCGUGCCAGCAGCCGCGGUAAUACGAAGGGGGCUAGCGUUGCUCGGGAUUACUGGGCGUAAAGGGAGCGUAGGCGGAUAGUUUAGUCAGAGGUGAAAGCCCAGGGCUCAACCUUGGAAUUGCCUUUGAUACUGGCUAUCUUGAGUAUGGAAGAGGUAUGUGGAACUCCGAGUGUAGAGGUGAAAUUCGUAGAUAUUCGGAAGAACACCAGUGGCGAAGGCGACAUACUGGUCCAUUACUGACGCUGAGGCUCGAAAGCGUGGGGAGCAAACAGGAUUAGAUACCCGAGUAGUCC